UGAUGUGUUUGGAAUAGAGCCCAGUCUGAAAUUAUAAGCACUGGGGUACUCCUAUGUGUCUGGGACUAUGCCAAGUAUUUUAUAGAUGUUUUCUAAUUCUCUGUAUAACCAUACAAGGUAUAUAAUUUGCCAUAGGUUCAAAUGUGUACCCAGCAGGCUAGGAGUAGGGCUUUGAAUGUCACCUAGCUCCUGAUGUCUGGGUCCUAGGACACUGACCUGUUCAGAAUGGGUAGAACAAAAAUGGAAGCAGAUACUGACACUGCUGGUAGCUGUGAUUCUAAGAUAGAAUUCUGGACUCCCAGCAUUUGGGUAGGACCCCGGGAUCAUCCAGUUUAGGCCUUGCCAGUUACUAGGGGACCCUUUAAAAGUUGCUGAUGAGGGAAUGUUUUUGGAUGGUUUGGCAUGAGGGGCGGUACCCUCAGAUGGAAAUGGAGACCAGAGGAGAGAGUACAUGGCCCAGAGAAAGGGAAGAAAAGGAGAGUGGGGGUGAAGUUCCACAGUGUGUGCAGGACUGCCAGGAUUCCAUUCAGCAGCACUGGCCUCUUUUCAAAUCUAAACUGCCCUGGCGCUAUGCUUUGAAUUUCAAUCUUUCAUCCUUGGCCUUGCUCUGAGCAGUUAUUGUACUCACACCUUCCCCAGGCCUCAGGAAACUGGGAGAGGGGGGAUCUUGACUGACAUUUUAGAUCCUGUCUGCUGCUCACUGAUGAUGACUGUGGACGCAUCUCCCUGCUUCUCUGGGUCUGUUUCUUCAUCUCUAAAAUAGGUAUGCUAACAUUCCAAUGCUAAGUGUUAAACGAAGUUAUGUUUAUGGACAUACCUUUUCUCUGGGGCCUUUUCUGUGGCUUUCAAAGUUGAAGCUGUGUGAUUUGCCAGAGGCAAGAAUGAGAAGUAAAAUGCUGUAGCACUAAGAAAAUCAGUGGAAGGGUAGAGCUGGAGGAGUCCAAAGGCUAAGCCUUUGUAGUGCAGGUGGGGAAGACCCAGGCAAGGCACAGGACUCUCCCCAGCUCCCGGGGAAGUGUGUGGUGGGUGAGGUUUAGUGUGGGCUGGAAUUUUCUGAGCCUUUUCCUGAGAACUGAUGUCUGUCCUUUAUUCUUCUGCCCCCUAUAGGAUGCUCUGGAGUUUUGGCUGCAAGCUGGCGUGGAUGGGUUCCAGGUUCGGGACAUAGAGAAUCUGAAGGAUGCAUCCUCAUUUUUGGCUGAGUGGCAAAACAUCACCAAGGGCUUCAGUGAAGACAGGCUCUUGAUUGCGGGGACUAACUCCUCCGACCUUCAGCAGAUCCUGAGCCUACUCGAAUCCAACAAAGACUUGCUGUUGACUAGCUCAUACCUGUCUGAUUCUGGUUCUACUGGGGAGCAUACAAAAUCCCUAGUCACACAGUAUUUGAAUGCCACUGGCAAUCACUGGUGCAGCUGGAGUUUGUCUCAGGCAAGGCUCCUGACUUCCUUCUUGCCGGCUCAACUUCUCCGACUCUACCAGCUGAUGCUCUUCACCCUGCCAGGGACCCCUGUUUUCAGCUACGGGGAUGAGAUUGGCCUGGAUGCGGCUGCCCUUCCUGGACAGCCUAUGGAGGCUCCAGUCAUGCUGUGGGAUGAGUCCAGCUUCCCUGACAUCCCAGGGGCUGUAAGUGCCAACAUGACUGUGAAGGGCCAGAGUGAAGACCCUGGCUCCCUCCUUUCCUUGUUCCGGCGGCUGAGUGACCAGCGGAGUAAGGAGCGCUCCCUACUGCAUGGGGACUUCCACGCGUUCUCCGCUGGGCCUGGACUCUUCUCCUAUAUCCGCCACUGGGACCAGAAUGAGCGUUUUCUGGUAGUGCUUAACUUUGGGGAUGUGGGCCUCUCGGCUGGACUGCAGGCCUCCGACCUGCCUGCCAGCGCCAGCCUGCCAGCCAAGGCUGACCUCCUGCUCAGCACCCAGCCAGGCCGUGAGGAGGGCUCCCCUCUUGAGCUGGAACGCCUGAAACUGGAGCCUCACGAAGGGCUGCUGCUCCGCUUCCCCUACGCGGCCUGACUUCAGCCUGACAUGGACCCACUACCCUUCUCCUUUCCUUCCCAGGCCCUUUGGCUUCUGAUUUUUCUCUUUUUUAAAAACAAACAAACAAACAAACUGUUGCAGAUUAUAAGUGAACCCCCAAAUAGGGUGUUUUCUGCCUUCAAAUAAAAGUCACCCCUGCAUGGUG
rnacentral:sRNA from 1 species